rnacentral:rRNA from 1 species
UACGGAGGAUGCAAGCGUUAUCCGGAAUGAUUGGGCGUAAAGCGUCCGCAGGUGGCUAUGUAAGUCUGCUGUUAAAGAGUGAGGCUCAACCUCAUAAGAGCAGUGGAAACUACAUAGCUAGAGUGCGUUCGGGGCAGAGGGAAUUCCUGGUGUAGCGGUGAAAUGCGUAGAUAUCAGGAAGAACACCGGUGGCGAAAGCGGGUUGCUGGGCCGACACUGACGCUGAGGCGCGAAAGCUAGGGGAGCGAACGGG